ACUAAGGCCCUGGCGAAGGCCGUGGCCUCGUUCAAGUAAUCCAGGAUAGGCUGUGCAGGUCCCAACGGGCCUAUUCUUGGUUACUUGCACGGGGACGCGUGCCUGGACGCCGGCAUCCGGG
rnacentral:precursor_RNA from 13 species